UACCUGAUGCAACAUUACUUG
rnacentral:misc_RNA from 1 species